AGAGUUUGAUCAUGGCUCAGAUUGAACGCUGGCGGCAGGCCUAACACAUGCAAGUCGAGCGGUAGCACAGAGAGCUUGCUCUCGGGUGACGAGCGGCGGACGGGUGAGUAAUGUCUGGGAAACUGCCUGAUGGAGGGGGAUAACUACUGGAAACGGUAGCUAAUACCGCAUAAUGUCGCAAGACCAAAGUGGGGGACCUUCGGGCCUCAUGCCAUCAGAUGUGCCCAGAUGGGAUUAGCUAGUAGGUGGGGUAACGGCUCACCUAGGCGACGAUCCCUAGCUGGUCUGAGAGGAUGACCAGCCACACUGGAACUGAGACACGGUCCAGACUCCUACGGGAGGCAGCAGUGGGGAAUAUUGCACAAUGGGCGCAAGCCUGAUGCAGCCAUGCCGCGUGUGUGAAGAAGGCCUUCGGGUUGUAAAGCACUUUCAGCGGGGAGGAAGGCGGUAAGGUUAAUAACCUCAUCGAUUGACGUUACCCGCAGAAGAAGCACCGGCUAACUCCGUGCCAGCAGCCGCGGUAAUACGGAGGGUGCAAGCGUUAAUCGGAAUUACUGGGCGUAAAGCGCACGCAGGCGGUCUGUCAAGUCGGAUGUGAAAUCCCCGGGCUCAACCUGGGAACUGCAUUCGAAACUGGCAGGCUAGAGUCUUGUAGAGGGGGGUAGAAUUCCAGGUGUAGCGGUGAAAUGCGUAGAGAUCUGGAGGAAUACCGGUGGCGAAGGCGGCCCCCUGGACAAAGACUGACGCUCAGGUGCGAAAGCGUGGGGAGCAAACAGGAUUAGAUACCCUGGUAGUCCACGCCGUAAACGAUGUCGAUUUGGAGGUUGUGCCCUUGAGGCGUGGCUUCCGGAGCUAACGCGUUAAAUCGACCGCCUGGGGAGUACGGCCGCAAGGUUAAAACUCAAAUGAAUUGACGGGGGCCCGCACAAGCGGUGGAGCAUGUGGUUUAAUUCGAUGCAACGCGAAGAACCUUACCUGGUCUUGACAUCCACAGAACUUAGCAGAGAUGCUUUGGUGCCUUCGGGAACUGUGAGACAGGUGCUGCAUGGCUGUCGUCAGCUCGUGUUGUGAAAUGUUGGGUUAAGUCCCGCAACGAGCGCAACCCUUAUCCUUUGUUGCCAGCGGUUCGGCCGGGAACUCAAAGGAGACUGCCAGUGAUAAACUGGAGGAAGGUGGGGAUGACGUCAAGUCAUCAUGGCCCUUACGACCAGGGCUACACACGUGCUACAAUGGCAUAUACAAAGAGAAGCGACCUCGCGAGAGCAAGCGGACCUCAUAAAGUAUGUCGUAGUCCGGAUUGGAGUCUGCAACUCGACUCCAUGAAGUCGGAAUCGCUAGUAAUCGUAGAUCAGAAUGCUACGGUGAAUACGUUCCCGGGCCUUGUACACACCGCCCGUCACACCAUGGGAGUGGGUUGCAAAAGAAGUAGGUAGCUUAACCUUCGGGAGGGCGCUUACCACUUUGUGAUUCAUGACUGGGGUGAAGUCGUAACAAGGUAACCGUAGGGGAACCUGCGGUUGGAUCACCU
rnacentral:rRNA from 1 species